GACAGAGGGGGCAAGCGUUGCUCGGAAUCACUGGGCGUAAAGGGCGCGUAGGCGGGAUGGCAAGUCGGUCGUGAAAUUCUUCGGCUCAACCGAAGAACGUCGGCCGAUACUGCCGUUCUUGAGGGAUGCAGAGGAGAUUGGAAUUCCCGGUGUAGCGGUGAAAUGUGUAGAGAUCGGGAGGAACACCGGUGGCGAAGGCGGGUCUCUGGGCAUCUCCUGACGCUGAGGCGCGAAAGCGUGGGGAGCAAACGGG
rnacentral:rRNA from 1 species